GACGAACGCUGGCGGCGUGCUUAACACAUGCAAGUCGAACGGAAAGGCCCUGCUUUUGUGGGGUGCUCGAGUGGCGAACGGGUGAGUAACACGUGAGUAACCUGCCCUUGACUUUGGGAUAACUUCAGGAAACUGGGGCUAAUACCGGAUAGGAGCUCCUGCUGCAUGGUGGGGGUUGGAAAGUUUCGGCGGUUGGGGAUGGACUCGCGGCUUAUCAGCUUGUUGGUGGGGUAGUUGCUUACCAAGGCUUUGACGGGUAGCCGGCCUGAGAGGGUGACCGGCCACAUUGGGACUGAGGUACGGACCAGAAGGCAACGGGAGGCAGCAGUGGGGAAUAUGGCGCAAUGGGCGGAAGCCUGAUGCAGCAACGCCGCGUGCGGGAUGACGGCCUUCGGGUUGUAAACCGCUUUCGCCUGUGACGAAGCGUGAGUGACGGUAAUGGGUAAAGAAGCACCGGCUAACUACGUG
rnacentral:rRNA from 1 species